UUGGGAUGAGCCCCGCGGCCUAUCAGCUUGUUGGUGGGGUGAUGGCCUACCAAGGCGACGACGGGUAGCCGGCCUGAGAGGGCGACCGGCCACACUGGGACUGAGACACGGCCCAGACUCCUACGGGAGGCAGCAGUGGGGAAUAUUGCACAAUGGGCGCAAGCCUGAUGCAGCGACGCCGCGUGAGGGAUGACGGCCUUCGGGUUGUAAACCUCUUUCACCGCGCGACGAAGCGAGAGUGACGGUACCGGAUGAUGUCCGCC
rnacentral:rRNA from 1 species